UUUAUUUUUUUACCCCCGUUUUCUUGAGAUCAAGAAUUAAUUUUGUGGUUGACUAUAAACAUUGGGCUGAUCUCUGUAUGUGGGGCCGUGUCCGAGAAAAAACAUCUUUUGAUCUCGAGAAAAUGGGGGUAAAAAAAUAAAU